CCGGAUAAACCUGGGAUGGAGCAGGGGAGGGUUGAGAUGUGGGUGGACAUGUUCCCGAAGGAUAUGCCUGCGCCUGGACCCGCUCUCGAUAUUUCACCAAGGAAGCCAAAGAAAUUUGAGCUCAGGGUGAUCGUGUGGAACACAGACGAAGUCGUUCUGGAAGACGAUGACAUUUUCACAGGGGAAAAAU